rnacentral:tRNA from 1 species
AAAAACUUAGUUAAAAAUAUAACAUUAGUUUGUCAAACUAAAAUUAUUAAUAAAAUAGUUUUUU